rnacentral:rRNA from 1 species
AGAGUUUGAUCAUGGCUCAGAACGAACGCUGGCGGCAUGCCUAACACAUGCAAGUCGAACGAGACCUUCGGGUCUAGUGGCGCACGGGUGCGUAACGCGUGGGAAUCUGCCCUGGGGUGCGGAAUAACUCGGAGAAAUCCGUGCUAAUACCGCAUAAUGUCUUCGGACCAAAGAUUUAUCGCCCUGGGAUGAGCCCGCGUAGGAUUAGCUAGUUGGUGGGGUAAAGGCCUACCAAGGCGACGAUCCUUAGCUGGUCUGAGAGGAUGAUCAGCCACACUGGGACUGAGACACGGCCCAGACUCCUACGGGAGGCAGCAGUGGGGAAUAUUGGACAAUGGGCGAAAGCCUGAUCCAGCAAUGCCGCGUGAGUGAUGAAGGCCCUAGGGUUGUAAAGCUCUUUACCCGGGAUGAUAAUGACAGUACCGGGAGAAUAAGCUCCGGCUAACUCCGUG